rnacentral:lncRNA from 1 species
GAUUGCCUUCUUUUCCAACCCCCUCUUUUACUCCUUUGUGUUGCUUAACCCUAUUUACCUCACUUAUAGCUUCUUCUUCCUUUCUUCUUUUGGCAUUCUUUGUUUCUUCUAUAAACACUUGGUGAUUUUCUUUAGGGAAAAAUAUAGCCAUGAGGUAUUCAAGAUUUAACUUUCUAUUUGUUAGUGUAUCAUUAAUGUAUGUAGAUGGGAAUUUGGGUUUUCGGGACACUGGGGGCUUUAGUCUUGCGUUGUUUGCUAAAUAGGGUUGGCACUUUGUAUUCAAAUCUAGUUCUUUACUAACAAGUUUUGUUUUUUUUUAAAAAGAAAAUCCUCUUUUUGCUCUUUUGUUGAUGCAGGUACUCAUUCCAAUGCAUCUUGGACUUGGAAGAAUAUUUUAGAAGAUCGAUAAUGUUGAAAAUUAAUUCGAAUUUUGUGAUGUUUGAUUUAGUCAUAUAUUUGAUUUAGUUAUAUGCAAACUGCUUUUUUAGUUCAGUAAUUUACUCUUUUUAGCUUUAGAUCAUGUUCUUGUUGGUGCAAAUAAUAUCUCCAUUUGAAGGCAUGUUAAGUGAUUAAAUGAUAAAUGAGUUUUGACACACCAAAAGUAUCAAUUUAUAUUGCUUUUAUUUCUGCAUUGUUUCUAUUAUGACACCCUAGUUCUUUUGUAAUUUUUAUCAAAAAACCCAACGGAUAAGUGCUAUCAAGGGGCUGCGAUGGCAGGUUCGUGAUAGAAAGUCCAUCUUCAUAUGGCACGAUCCUGGCCCCCUUGUUGCUUCCCUUAAGACGACCUCUCAGCCCCGAGAUGGUAAGAUGUUCCCUUGGUUCAACAACUCUUUUUCAGCGAGGAGCCAAGAUGAUUCUUCAAAUUCCUGUAUGGGUUACUACUUACCAGAGCUUCUGACAAGUGGACUCGGCAUUUCUCUUCUCAUGGAAAUUAUAUGGCAAAAUCAGGGUAUUUAAUUGCUAAAUCUGUCUAAGAGUUUAGAUAUUCAAGCAGAAACCAUGUAUUUAACAGUCUCAAAGGAGCAAGGCUGUUGGAACCAGCUUUGGAGCUUUAAAUUGCCUCCGAAAUUAUUAUUUUCCUUUGGAUAGUGCUUGUUAAUGGGUUGCUAACGUGAUACAAAUUAAAACCCAGGUUCAACGAAGCAUAUCUUUUUUCAUUGUCAUUUUGCUAGAAUUAUAUUGUAUGGCUUAUGUCUCCCUUUGAAUUGAGGUCAGACCUUCUAGAAGAUAAUUCUUUCCAAGAUUAUUGGAUGUCUCUUAUGGAUGGUGUGUGCAUUGGCGGUAGCCCCAUGGUGCAUGAGGCUGCCAUUUUUGUUUCUUGCAUUUUGUGGUUGAUUUGGAAAGCUAGGAAGUUUUCAACCAUGAGUUUUAGGAGCCCGGUG